AAGUCGUAACAAGGUUUCCGUAGGUGAACCUGCGGAAGGAUCAUUAACACGUAUCCAACGUUAAAACCCCCCCCGUGAACUUUCAAUCCUGCUCUUGUAACCCGCGUAGUUCGCAAUCUCUGGUAAAUCAUAGACCGGAAAGUUGUUUUGAUUCAGAGACCUCUGGCUACGUGAGAACAUUGGAACAGUUACAAUCGAGAGCAGUCAGUGUCGGAAAGUGUCACUGAUUGUGCAAGGAUAGCGCUCACGAUUCCUGUAGACCGUACACUCGGGCAGGAGCUAUGCCAAAGGGUCCCCAUGCCCCCUUAUAACCCCACAGUUUAAUGUAAAGCUCAAUGUAAUACAUUGGGUAAAAAAACCGAACAACUGUUAACAAUGAAUAUCUUGGUUCUC
rnacentral:misc_RNA from 1 species